AGUGGUUGAUCACGAGUCAGUCGGUCCUAAGUUCAAGGCGAAAGCCGAAAAUUUUCAAGUGAAGAAAAAUCUAAAUAUAUUUGUCAUCUAACCGAUUUUUAUAUACUUGAAUAAUUUUGAACGAAAGGGAAUACGGUUCCAAUUCCGUAACCUGUUGAGUAUCCGUUUGUUAUUAAAUAUGGGCCUCGUGCUCAUCCUGGCAACAGGAACGACCAUAAAGAAGCCGUCGAGAGGUAUCGGAAGAGUUUUCUUUUCUGUUUUAUAGCCGUACUACCAUGGAAGUCUUUCGCAGAGAGAUAUGGUAGAUGUGCUAGAAGAGCAUGACAUAUACUGUUGUGUCGAUAUUUUCUCCUCGGACCUUGAAAAUUUAUGGUGGGGACACGCAAACUUCUCAACAGGCCGUACCAAUAUCCGCAGCUGGUCUCCAAGGUGAAAGGUCUCUAGUC
rnacentral:ncRNA from 1 species